CCUACGGGUGGCUGCAGUGGGGAAUAUUGGACAAUGGGCGAAAGCCUGAUCCAGCCAUGCCGCGUGUGUGAAGAAGGCCUUCGGGUUGUAAAGCACUUUCAGUGGGGAAGAAAGCCUUGGGGCUAAUACCCUCGAGGAAGGACAUCACCCACAGAAGAAGCACCGGCUAACUCCGUGCCAGCAGCCGCGGGAAUACGGAGGGUGCGAGCGUUAAUCGGAAUUACUGGGCGUAAAGCGCGCGUAGGCGGUCUGAUAAGCCGGUUGUGAAAGCCCCGGGCUCAACCUGGGAACGGCAUCCGGAACUGUCAGGCUAGAGUGCAGGAGAGGAAGGUAGAAUUCCCGGUGUAGCGGUGAAAUGCGUAGAGAUCGGGAGGAAUACCAGUGGCGAAGGCGGCCUUCUGGACUGACACUGACGCUGAGGUGCGAAAGCGUGGGUAGCAAACAGGAUUAGAUACCCCUGUAGUC
rnacentral:rRNA from 1 species